AUGUCUGCUUCCCCCGGUCCGGUGGCCUCCUGGGUAACCCUGUCUCCCUACUUCAACUCUUGCCUCGGAUGCAUUGGCCAUUUAGUGCUAAGAAGGCUUACUAAUUCUUCAGUAUUGUUUAUGGGGGUGGGUAGGGGCCCCCAAAUUAUGUUGCAGAGGUCAAGAACCCUGGCCGGGCUCAGAGAGACCACCGGCUGGAUUCAGAAUACAACUGGAGAUGCAGAGCCUCCGGGUGCGCCACCUGCACAGCCCAAAGCGUGGAGCAGCAAGAGCUCCGGUCUGUCCCUGAGGGCACCUCCGCUCCGGCAGCACAGAUGCACGGGGAAGACUGCCCGGCCGAGCCAGGCAGGGAAGCAGGCGGAUGCCCCCGUCUCUGUCUCCCAGCCCGUCCAUGCCAAUCCAGCACGCCCGCCUCCCUAGGGCGCACCUGGUCUCCCACACUACACAGGAGACGCCGUGAGGUCAGGUGCCUGUGGGGAUGGGGAAGGGGGAAGUGUCUUCAAGCUCGGUGUCUCCCCCAAAGCUGUCUUUAGCAAGACAGAAGUGCCGAUCUCAACCUUGUUUCUAGAAGUUACUAUGCCACCCUUCAGAUGGCACUGUUGCACAGCCCCCAGAGGGCUGACCUUUGAUGGCCCGUCCCCAGCUGCGCUCCGCCAGUUUCCCGCAUCUGCCUCUCUCAGGUCCCUCCUGGCUUUGCUCACCGCCUCGCCCUGCGUGGGGUGGCACCGAGGUCGCCUGUCUUCGCCUGCCUCACCUGUGGGACCCGGCGGCCCUCCCCUUGCCCUCUGUGGACACCCAGUCCCGGGCAGCUUCUCUCCUAUGGGGUGACUGCACGACGCAUUCUCAUUCUCCCACUAAGUGCAGCCUGCUCUUGGUCUUAGCCUCUGCUUUGAAUUACCGCAGGAGGCUGGGGGUGGAGACCGGGACUUAGAAUGAAAACGGGGGACACAGUUCUGUACGGCCAUAAGAAGUAAAGCCGCCGCCUGCAGUGCCGGCAUCCCACAGGGGCGCCGGUUCCAGUCCCGGCUGCUCCACUUCCCAUCCAGCUCUCUGCUAUGGCCUGGGAAGGCAGUGGAAGAUGGCCCAAGUCCUUUGGACCCCUGCACCUGCGUGGGAGACCCGGAUGGAGCUCCUGGUUCCUGGCUUCUUAUCGGCGCAGCUCCGGCCGUUGCGGCCAUCUGGGGAGUGAACCAUGGGAUGGAAGACCUCUCUGUGUCUCUAACUCUGCCUGUCAAAUCUUUUUUUUUUUUUUUUUUUUUGACAGGCAGAGUUAGAGAGAGAGAGAGAGAGACUAGAACCCGGGGUGCCGGCGCCGCAGGCGGAUUAGCCUAGUGAGCCACGGCGCCGGCCAUCAAAUAAAUCUUAAAAAAAAAAAAAACCCA
rnacentral:lncRNA from 1 species